GAACGCUGGCGGCGUGCCUAAUACAUGCAAGUCGAACGGUCUUUCUAUGGAAGCUUGCUUCCACUGAGAAGAUAGUGGCGAACGGGUGAGUAACACGUGGGUAACCUGCCCAUAAGAGGGGGAUAACAUCCGGAAACGGGUGCUAAUACCGCAUAGUUUUCUUGAUCGCAUGAUUGAGAAAGGAAAGACGGCCUUUGUGCUGUCGCUUAUGGAUGGACCCGCGGCGUAUUAGUUAGUUGGUGAGGUGACGGCUCACCAAGACGAUGAUACGUAGCCGACCUGAGAGGGUGAUCGGCCACAUUGGGACUGAGACACGGCCCAAACUCCUACGGGAGGCAGCAGUAGGGAAUCUUCCGCAAUGGACGAAAGUCUGACGGAGCAACGCCGCGUGAGUGAAGAAAAGGUUUUCGGAUCGUAAAACUCUGUUGUCAGAGGAGAACAAGUUGGAGAGUAACUGCUCCAGCCUUGACGGUAUCUGACCAGAAAGCCACGGCUAACUACGUGCCAGCAGCGGC
rnacentral:rRNA from 1 species